rnacentral:lncRNA from 10 species
UCACAUCUACCUGCGGAAUUCACCUUAUACCUUAGAGAGAGGCUGCAGUCAGUGACAGCUGAUGGGAAAUGCAUCUGUUCCUUUGAGUAAUUCAGCAACAUCAUUACUUCUCAGGAAAUGAUAAUUUCUCGCCGGGCGCAGUGCUCACGUCUGUAAUCCCAGCACUUUGGGAGGCCAAGGCGGGCGGAUCACGAGGUCAAGAAAUCGAGACCAGCCUGGCCAACAUGGUGAAACC